rnacentral:tRNA from 1 species
GCGCUUGUGGUGUCAACGGUCAGCACGCCGGUCUUCCAAACCGGUCGAGCGGGUUCGAAUCCCGCCGGGCGCA